rnacentral:rRNA from 1 species
UUGCCAAGCGUUAUUCCGGGAAUUAUUGGGCGUAAAGCGUCCGCAGGCGGGCCCAGAAAGUCUGCUGUUAAAACGUGGAGCUUAACUCCAUCAUGGCAGUGGAAACUGUUGGGCUUGAGUGUGGUAGGGGCAGAGGGAAUUCCCGGUGUAGCGGUGAAAUGCGUAGAUAUCGGGAAGAACACCAGUGGCGAAGGCGCUCUGCUGGGCCAUCACUGACGCUCAUGGACGAAAGCCAGGGGAGCGAAAGGGAUUAGAUACCCCUGUAGUCCUGGCCGUAAACGAUGAACACUAGGUGUCGGGGGAAUCGACCCCCUCGGUGUCGUAGCCAACGCGUUAAGUGUUCCGCCUGGGGAGUACGCACGCAAGUGUGAAACUCAAAGGAAUUGACGGGGGCCCGCACAAGCGGUGGAGUAUGUGGUUUAAUUCGAUGCAACGCGAAGAACCUUACCAGGGUUUGACAUCCUGCGAACCUCUUGGAAACGAGAGGGUGCCUUCGGGAACGCAGUGACAGGUGGUGCAUGGCUGUCGUCAGCUCGUGUCGUGAGAUGUUGGGUUAAGUCCCGCAACGAGCGCAACCCACGUCUUUAGUUGCCAGCAUUUAGUUGGGCACUCUAGAGAGACCGCCGGUGAUAAACCGGAGGAAGGUGUGGAUGGCGUCAAGUCAUCAUGCCCCUUACAUCCUGGGCUACACACGUACUACAAUGCUACGGACAAAGGGCAGCAAGUUCGCGAGGACAAGCAAAUCCCAUAAACCGUGGCUCAGUUCAGAUCGUAGGCUGCAACUCGCCUACGUGAAGGAGGAAUCGCUAGUAAUCGCAGGUCAGCAUACUGCGGUGAAUACGUUCCCGGGCCUUGUACACACCGCCCGUCACACCAUGGAAGUUGGCCACGCCCGAAGCCGUUACUCCAACCCUUGUGGAGGAGGACGUCGAAGGUGGGGCUGAUGACUGGGGUGAAGUCGUAACAAAGGUAACCGUAAAGCC